AUGGGCUUUCCUUUGUAUUUGGAAGAAGUCAAUACAGAUGCAAUAAUAUGGCACACAAAAAAGAAGGAAGUAGCAGCUAUUUACAAGAGCCUCGCAGUGUGCAAUAUAGCUACGAGAUCCUAUUGUCUGUUGGAAUUUCACUUUAGAACGGUUGGUUUUAUUCUUCAAACAGUUAGCCUAGAAGAAGAUACACUUGUAAGGCACAUACAUAAAUACAAGUUCAAUAUGUGGUCUGAUCAAAUACAUAUAGCCUACCUGAUACUUUCGAUCAGACCAGUGUUCAACAAGGGCUAUCCAGUCUUCAUUUGUAAUAUAUUCCACUAG
rnacentral:rRNA from 1 species